CUGUCUCUAUAUGACCUUAUCGACAGGGAGAGAGGGGGGAAAGGUGAGAGAGCGAUUGGAGAAGAGUCGAUGGGCGACACGAUGAGUUCUUCGUCCUCCUCGAACGCGUUUUCCUUCGUCCUCUACAACUACCCGCUGAUCUCCGCGAUCGUCGCCCAAUCCACCAAGUUCUUUACGACCCGACCUCUGGAAGUUCAUGCCAAAGAAAUCAUAUAUGAACUCAGCUGUUCAUUCAUCAGUCAAACUUGUCCUCUCGUGGAUGUGUAAGCUGUGCUCAAGCGAACCUUCUGCGACAGAGAUGGCUAAUAUCGUUGAGCAAAGCAUUUUAUCAUGACUCAGAUCCCAGAUUAUGUAAGAGAAGUUAUUCCAUAGAACACAACACAGAACAACAAGAAGGAUGAACAACUGAUCUGAUAGCAGAAGACACAAGGAUUCACUGAACUCAUCC